GAUGAACGCUGGCGGCGUGCCUAAUACAUGCAAGUCGAGCGAACAGACGAGGAGCUUGCUCCUCUGACGUUAGCGGCGGACGGGUGAGUAACACGUGUAUAACCUACCUAUAAGACUGGGAUAACUUCGGGAAACCGGAGCUAAUACCGUAUAAUAUAUUGAACCGCAUGGUUCAAUAGUGAAAGACGGUUUUGCUGUCACUUAUCGAUGGAUCCGCGCCGCAUUAGCUAGUUGGUAAGGUAACGGCUUACCAAGGCAACGAUGCGUAGCCGAACUGACAGGGUGAUCGGCCACACUGGAACUGAGACACGGUCCAGACUCCUACGGGAGGCAGCAGUAGGGAAUCUUCCGCAAUGGGCGAAAGCCUGACGGAGCAACGCCGCGUGAGUGAUGAAGGUCUUCGGAUCGUAAAACUCUGUUAUUAGGGAAGAACAAAUGUGUAAGUAACUAUGCACGUCUUGACGGUACCUAAUCAGAAAGCCACGGCUAACUACGUG
rnacentral:rRNA from 1 species